UACGUAGGUGGCAAGCGUUGUCCGGAUUUACUGGGCGUAAAGGGCGUGCAGGCGGUUUGUUAAGUACAGGGUGAAAGCCCCCGGCUCAACUGGGGAGGGUCACGCGAUACUGUUCGACUCGAAGGCAGGAGAGGGAAGUGGAAUUCCCGGUGUAGUGGUGAAAUGCGUAGAUAUCGGGAGGAACACCAGUGGCGAAGGCGGGUUACUGGGCUGAUACUGACGCUGAUGCGCGAAAGCCAGGGGAGCAAACGGG
rnacentral:rRNA from 1 species